rnacentral:lncRNA from 1 species
GAUUUACAUUGAAAAUGAAUCAUGGGUCGUUCCCCCUCCGCCUCCCCCUCCCUCUUUGCAUGGUCUCCCUCUGAUGCCCAGCCGAGGCUGGACUGUACUGCUGCCAUCUCGACUCACUGCAACCUCCCUGCCUGAUUCUCCUGCCUCAGCCUGCCGAGUGCCUGGGAUUGCAGGUGCGCGCCGCCACGCCUGACUGGUUUUCGUAUUUUUUGGUGGAGACGGGGUUUCGCCAUGUUGGCCGGGCUGGUCUCCAGCUCCUGACCAUGAGUGAUCUGCCAGCCUCCGCCUCUCAGGUGCCGGGAUUGUAGACGGAGUCUGGCUCACUCAGUGCUCAAUGUUGCCCAGGCUGGAGUGCAGUGGCGUGAUCUCGGCUCGCUACAACCGCCACCUCCCAGCCGCCUGCCUUGGCCUCCCAAAGUGCCGAGAUUGCAGCCUCUGCCCGGCCGCCACCCCGUCUAGGAAGUGAGGAGUGCCUCUGCCUGGCUGCCCAUCAUCUGGGAUGUGAGGAGCCCCUCUGCCUGGCCGCCCAGUCUGGGAAGUGAGGAGCACCUCUUCCCGGCCGUCAUCCUGUCUAGGAAGUGAGGAGCGUCUCUGCCCGGCCACCCAUUGUCUAGGAUGUGGGGAGCGCCUCUGCCCCACCGUCCCGUCUGAGAUGUGAAGAGUGCCUCUGCCCGGCCGCGACCCCGUCUGGGAACUGAGGAGUGUCUCUGCCCCGCCGCCACCCGUCUGGGAGGUGGGGGAGCGCGCCUCUGCCCAGCCGCCCCUACUGGGAAGUGAGGAGCCCCUCUGCCCAGCCGCCACCCGGUCUGGGAGGUGUACCCAACAGCUCAUUGAAAACGGGCCAUGAUGAAGAUGGCGGUUUUGUCGAAUAGAAAAGGGGGAAAUGUGGGGAAAAGAAAGAGAGAUCAGAUUGUUACUGUGUCUGUGUAGAAAGAAGUAGACAUAGGAGACUCCAUUGUGUUCUGUACUAAGAAAAAUUCUUCUGCCUUGGGAUGCUGUUAAUCUAUAACCUUACCCCCAACUCCGUGCUCUCUGAAACAUGUUCUGUGUCCACUAAGGGUUAAAUGGAUUAAGGGCGGUGCAAGAUGUGCUUUGUUACACAGAUGCUUGAAGGCAGCAUACUCGUUAAGAGUCAUCACCACUCCCUAAUCUCAAAUACCCAGGGACACAAACACGGCCGAAGGCAGCAGGGCCCUCUGCCUAGGAAAACCGGAGACCUUUGUUCACAUGUUUAUCUGCUGACCUUCCCUCCACUAUUGUCCUAUGACCCUGCCAAAUCCCCCUCUCUGAGAAACACCCAAGAAUGAUCAAUAAAUACUAAAAAAAAAAUAAAAUAAAAUAAAAAAAAG